rnacentral:tRNA from 1 species
CAAGAGGUAGUUUAAUUAAAAUAUUAAUUUUGGAGAUUAAUGAUAAAAGUUUUCUUUUUCUCUUGA